GUCCUUGCCUUCUCCCUUGUUUGAGAAAGGAAUUCUUUGUUCUACAGAGCUGCAUCUGCCAGGGUAGCUGACCUACAAUCCUCGGAGGCUCUCCUACCUCCACUCCAGUCACCACUGAAGACCGGAACUACAGACAGCCGCUACGAAACCUCUGGGCUAGAAAACCUGCUAAGGAACAGCACGAAGCUGCCUACAUGCCGGGAGAAGGAAUUCAUCCUUCUUGCUGCCUAAGCAAACAAUUCACACAACAGUGAACCGCUUCCUUCUCCACUCAGCUCCCUCUCCUGCUUCAGGGCUCCUGACGUGGCUGCUCCCAAGCUGCAGAUCCUGAUUAGUUGCAGAUUUAUACAUACCAGCCCGCCAGCCAUCCUGAGUUACAGUGAAUCCGCUGGCCUCUCAGCUAUCCUAAGCCCUGGGCUUUGAGCCAAGACUCUACCGAAGACUUCAGAGCUGCAAGGAAACCACAUCACACAAGAUGUUUCCAGUUUUAAAAGAAAUGCAAAGGUACUUACGAGAACACGUAGCACUGAAGAGACGUCGAGACAACCAAGUGUGCGUGGUUCAGAGAUGCUUUAAUGACUCUGUCCCGGAACUCCAGCAAAUCCACAGCAUCAUUGAGAACAUUGCGAACCUAAGCAAGAAAACACGAGGGAAAGAAAUAUCAACAAACAAUGUUUUUUAAAAUGAAAUCUAAA